AUACGGAGGGUGCAAGCGUUAAUCGGAAUUACUGGGCGUAAAGCGUACGUAGGCGGUUCGUUAAGUUAGAUGUGAAAGCCCCGGGCUUAACCUGGGAACUGCAUUUAAAACUGGCGGACUAGAGUUGAGUAGAGGGAAGUGGAAUUUCAGGUGUAGCGGUGAAAUGCGUAGAGAUCUGAAGGAACACCAGUGGCGAAGGCGACUCCCUGGACUCGAACUGACGCUAAGGUACGAAAGCGUGGGUAGCAAACGGGAUUAGAAACCCGGGUAGUCC
rnacentral:rRNA from 1 species